GCUCAGUGAUUGCUUUGCAUAGACCCCUCCAGGCCCAGAGCAGCAGCUCAGGGUUUAUAAAAGGGGCCUUUGCCAUGGGAGCUGAGCUGCAGCAGGCGGGCAGGGGCAGCAAGAUGGUGUCACAGACGCAGGUCCUCACGUUCUUGUUGCGCUGGGUCACAGGUGCCUGUGGGGACAUCGUGAUGACCCAUUCUCCAACCACCUUAUCUCUGUCUCCAGGACAGAGGGUCACCAUUAACUGCAGGGCCAGUCAAAGUGUUAGCAGUCACAUAGCCUGGUACCAGAAGAAGCCUGGGCAGGCUCCAAAAUUGCUCAUCUAUGAUGCAUCCAACUGGGCAUCUGGGGUCUCUGACCGCUUCAGCAACAGUGGGUCUGGGACAGAUUACACUUUCACAAUCAGCAGCCCCCAGGCUGAGGAUGUGGCAGCUUAUUACUGCAUACAAGAAUACAGCUAUCCUCCCACAGUGCUUCAGCCUUGA